rnacentral:pre_miRNA from 1 species
AUAUGAAUUUCCUACUGACCUUGUUAAAAUGCAGGUUCUGGUUCAGUAGGUCUGAGGGGUGACCUGAGAAUCUGAUUUCUGGCAAAUUCAUGGGUGAUACUGAU